UGCGCAGGCUGGCCUGUCAGUCAGUGGUGAAAUCUCGGGGCUCAACCCCGAAACUGCCAUUGAUACUGCAAGUCUUGAAUACGGUUGAAGUAGGCGGAAUGUAGCAUGUAGCGGUGAAAUGCAUAGAGAUGCUACAGAACACCGAUCGCGAAGGCAGCUUACUAAGCCGAUAUUGACGCUGAGGCACGAAAGCGUGGGGAGCGAACAGGAUUAGAUACCCUGGUAGUCC
rnacentral:rRNA from 1 species